AUCCAGCUGAUGAGUCUCAAAUAGGAUGAAAUGCACCUCCUGAAU
rfam:Schistosoma haematobium scaffold633_12, whole genome shotgun sequence.